rnacentral:rRNA from 1 species
UACGGGGGGGGGCAAGCGUUGUUCGGAAUUACUGGGCGUAAAGCGCACGUAGGCGGCUUUGUAAGUUAGAGGUGAAAGCCCGGGGCUCAACCCCGGAAUUGCCUUUAAGACUGCAUCGCUUGAAUCCGGGAGAGGUGAGUGGAAUUCCGAGUGUAGAGGUGAAAUUCGUAGAUAUUCGGAAGAACACCAGUGGCGAAGGCGGCUCACUGGACCGGUAUUGACGCUGAGGUGCGAAAGCGUGGGGAGCAAACAGG